GACGAACGCUGGCGGCGUGCCUAAUACAUGCAAGUUGAGCGCUGAAGGUUGGUACUUGUACCAACUGGAUGAGCAGCGAACGGGUGAGUAACGCGUGGGGAAUCUGCCUUUGAGCGGGGGACAACAUUUGGAAACGAAUGCUAAUACCGCAUAAAAACUUUAAACACAAGUUUUAAGUUUGAAAGAUGCAAUUGCAUCACUCAAAGAUGAUCCCGCGUUGUAUUAGCUAGUUGGUGAGGUAAAGGCUCACCAAGGCGAUGAUACAUAGCCGACCUGAGAGGGUGAUCGGCCACAUUGGGACUGAGACACGGCCCAAACUCCUACGGGAGUCAGCAGUAGGGAAUCUUCGGAAAUGGACGAAAGUCUGAACGAGCAACGCCGCGUGAGUGAAGAAUGUUUUCGGAUCGUAAAACUCUGUUGGUAGAGAAGAACGUUGGUGAGAGUGGAAAGCUCAUCAAGUGACGGUAACUACCCAGAAAGGGACGGCUAACUCCGUG
rnacentral:rRNA from 1 species